rnacentral:piRNA from 1 species
UGGUUUCUGCAAUGCAUUGCCAUGGAAGG